rnacentral:lncRNA from 1 species
CUACUGUUGGUUUCUUCUGGAUUUUCCUUUUGGGUUUUGUAAAACAGAAGUUUAAGACCACAAGUUAUAAGAAAGGUCACAUAUUUCAAACACAAAUAAAUGGGGCUCCAAAAGAUUUGUAUCCUGUGCUUGAACGUGAAUGGCCUUAAAUCUGUUUCAGCUUUAACAAUAGAACUUUACUUGGGCAAUAUUUGCCCAUUCUGGUGUAACUUACGUGACUCUAUUGCUUAACAGCUGCUGUUGAAGCUAGUGUUCUUGUUCAGUUCUAUAGUGUUCAGAAUACCUUUUGUCAUUGAAGAUGUGAAUGAAGUGUGCAUGUGCAUCGACUGUUGAAUUCACUUUUGUGCCAUUUUUGUAAAUACAAUAGUUUUGCACAGCCUCUCACAACUGUCUGUAUUACUUUCACAUAUUAAAGAGUAGAUAAUGUGCCAACCAGAAGCACAAGAGUUCCUACAAAAAACUCUGUAUGUCAUUAGAGCUUUUGUAUAGUAAGAGUGGUUUAUAGUCUUGGGGUUAUAGAAUACCAAACUGAAAUCUUUGCUCAGUCUGCCAUAGACUUAAGCUUUUUCAUUUGUUAGUAGUACCCAUGACAUUCAGUGGCCUUGUGCAAAU